UACGAAGGGGGCUAGCGUUGCUCGGAAUUACUGGGCGUAAAGGGCGCGUAGGCGGCCCACAUAGUCAGGCGUGAAAUUCCUGGGCUCAACCUGGGGGCUGCGCUUGAUACGUGUGGGCUUGAGGACAGGAGAGGCUCGUGGAAUUCCCAGUGUAGAGGUGAAAUUCGUAGAUAUUGGGAAGAACACCGGUGGCGAAGGCGGGUCUCUGGGCCGAUAUUGACGCUGAGGAGCGAAAGCGUGGGGAGCGAACAGG
rnacentral:rRNA from 1 species